rnacentral:lncRNA from 11 species
CUCUAUAGUAAUGCCAGCUUUCGGGAGGUGUGUGGGCCUGGCGCAUGCGCUGUCGUUCCCCGGCCUGGCCUUCCACUCGAGGCCUGUGCCGUCAUGGCGGCGCCGGGGCUUGUCGGGCUGUGCUGGCUCCUGCUCUGGGGAGGGCCGUGGGCCACGGUGGGCGCCUCCGAGGACAUCGUGGUGGGCUGCGGGGGCUUCGUCAAGUCCAGCGUGGAGAUCAACUACUCCCUCAUCGAGAUUAAAUUAUACACAAAACAUGGGACUUUGAAAUACCAAACCGACUGCGCUCCAAAUAAUGGUUAUUUCAUGAUUCCUCUGUAUGAUAAGGGGGAUUUUGUUCUUAAAAUUGAGCCUCCCCUAGGGUGGAGUUUUGAUCCAACAAGUGUAGACAUCCAUGUGGAUGGCAUCAGUGACAUUUGCACUAGAGGAGGCGAUAUCGAUUUCGUGUUUACGGGCUUUUCAGUAAAUGGAAAGGUUCUUAGCAAAGGCCAAACACUGGGUCCUGCUGGAGUUUUAGUUUCACUGAGGCAUCCUGGUUCAGAGAUAAACAUCCAAGCUACAGCCACUCAUCCUGGAGGAAAGUAUGCCUUUUUUAAAGUGCUUCCUGGGGAAUAUGAAAUCUUUGCGUCUCAUCCCACCUGGGUGCUUGAAGAGGUAAGUGCUGCUGAAACAUUUCCCAAUUAUUUUAAAAGCCCUAAUAUUUUUAGAACAGCAAUUUUUUAUUUGUAACAAUGAUCUAUGAUUCUGUGAUUCUAUUUUGAUGUGUUUGUACUCAUUUGAGGUACUGAAUGUUUGUCUUUUUGUUUUGUGUCUGUAAACCGCUCUGAGUCCCUUCAGGGAGAGAGGGCUGUCUAGAAAUAAAGUUUUUAUUAUUUUAUUGUAUGACACAGCAA